rnacentral:rRNA from 1 species
UACGGAGGAUCCAAGCGUUAUCCGGAUUCAUUGGGUUUAAAGGGUGCGUAGGCGGACUUGUAAGUCAGUGGUGAAAUCUCUCAGCUUAACUGAGAAACUGCCAUUGAUACUGCAGGUCUAGAGUAUAGAUGACGUUGGCGGAAUAUGACAUGUAGUGGUGAAAUACUUAGGUAUGUCAUAGAACACCGAUUGCGAAGGCAGCUAACGAAAACUAUAACUGACGCUGAGGCACGAAAAGUGCGGGGAUCAAACAGG